rfam:Pseudoxanthomonas suwonensis 11-1, complete genome.
GGGGGUGUCCUGGUUUCGACGGGGGAUGCGAAGUCGACUGGCGCAUGCCGAGGGGGCAGCUUUCCUCGUUAAUCCAGCGGCAAAACUCAUAGUUGCCAACGACGACAACUACGCUCUCGCCGCUUAAGGCGUAGCCCCGAACCCACUUGUGCCUGUGCUCGUGGAUGUAGGGUCAUUAUCACGGGAUGCUCCGCUGGUGGUUACCUGUCAGCCAGCGGUCAAGACUCAACAGGCAUGUCCCGAGGUGCGCUUAGCACGCCGUGCUGCCGAGGGACGAGAACCAACGGUGAGCUAAGCAUGUAGUGCCGGAGACCGAGUACCUUCGGACGGCGGUUCAACUCCGCCCACCUCCACCA